rnacentral:rRNA from 1 species
GAUGAACGCUGGCGGCGUGCCUAAUACAUGCAAGUCGAGCGAACGGACGAGAAGCUUGCUUCUCUGAUGUUAGCGGCGGACGGGUGAGUAACACGUGGAUAACCUACCUAUAAGACUGGGAUAACUUCGGGAAACCGGAGCUAAUACCGGAUGAUAUUUUGAACCGCAUGGUUCAAAAGUGAAAGACGGUCUUGCCGUCACUUAUAGAUGGAUCCGCGCUGCAUUAGCUAGUUGGUAAGGUAACGGCUUACCAAGGCAACGAUGCAUAGCCGACCUGAGAGGGUGAUCGGCCACACUGGAACUGAGACACGGUCCAGACUCCUACGGGAGGCAGCAGUAGGGAAUCUUCCGCAAUGGGCGAAGGCCUGACGGAGCAACACCGCGUGAGUGAUGAAGGUCUUCGGAUCGUAAAACUCUGUUAUUAGGGAAGAACAUAUGUGUAAGUAACUGUGCACAUCUUGACGGUGCCUAAUCAGAAAGCCACGGCUAACUACGUG